rnacentral:rRNA from 1 species
UACGUAGGGGGCAAGCGUUGUUCGGAAUUACUGGGCGUAAAGCGCGCGUAGGCGGUCUGACAAGUCAGAUGUGAAAGCCCCGGGCUCAACUUGGGAACUGCAUUUGAUACUGUCAGACUAGAGUACAGAAGAGGUGACUGGAAUUCCCAGUGUAGCGGUGAAAUGCGUAGAUAUUGGGAGGAACACCAGAUGCGAAGGCGGGUCACUGGGCUGAUACUGACGCUGAAGUGCGAAAGCCAGGGGAGCGAACGGG